rnacentral:ncRNA from 2 species
GUCGAACGGGAGUGCUACGGUGCGGCUGCCACGCGAGGGAACCCGGUGAGAGUCCGGGACUGACGCGCAACGGUAUGGGCGGCGACGCCUGAGUCCGACACCCGCUGGCGACCCGCGGCACUC